AUGAACGCUGGCGGCGUGCCUAAUACCUGCAAGUCGAGCGAACAGACGAGGAGCUUGCUCCUCUGACGUUAGCGGCGGACGGGUGAGUAACCCGUGGAUAACCUACCUAUAAGACUGGGAUAACUUCGGGAAACCGGAGCUAAUACCGGAUAAUAUAUUGAACCGCAUGGUUCAAUAGUGAAAGACGGUUUUGCUGUCACUUAUAGAUGGAUCCGCGCCGCAUUAGCUAGUUGGUAAGGUAACGGCUUACCAAGGCAACGAUGCGUAGCCGACCUGAGAGGGUGAUCGGCCACACUGGAACUGAGCCACGGUCCAGACUCCUACGGGAGGCAGCAGUAGGGAAUCUUCCGCAAUGGGCGAAAGCCUGACGGAGCAACGCCGCGUGAGUGAUGAAGGUCUUCGGAUCGUAAAACUCUGUUAUUAGGGAAGAACAAAUGUGUAAGUAACUAUGCACGUCUUGACGGUACCUAAUCAGAAAGCCACGGCUAACUACGUG
rnacentral:rRNA from 1 species